GUAGAUCUUAUUGAGAUACAUGUGUGUGUCAAUUUUUGUGUCAUUUUGACAAAGCGUACAGGUGUUACACUCAACAAUGUGUAUUUUCACCUUAGGGGACAAGAAAAAAUGGACUUUUUUCUCCUGCCAUGGGGGGCGCUCUUUUGGGGAGUAAAAAUUCCUUCACAAAUGUGUUGAUGGCUGGACAUUGCAUCAUCCUAGAAAACUUGGAGGCCAGUGAGGGCAAAAAUAAAAAGUUAUAAGACUUUUAAAUAUGUGGAUCUUAGGGUUAUCUUUGGCGCCCCCUAGAACCUAAACCGUGGGGUGCAGCGUCAUGAUUUGAAUAACUUUUAAUGGCCAUGGGGUGUAGAUUGGCCUGAGCAAAUGUGGUGCCGGUGGAACGAAAGCCUUCGGAGGAGUUAGCGAAAUUCCAAUGUGUGCGGAUCGGCAAAAAAUGCGAAAUAACCCUUUAACCGUACAUUUGACAGAUACGCCCGCACUGACUUUUUUGUAGAUCUUAUUGAGAUACAUGUGUGUGUCAAUUUUUGUGUCAUUUUGACAAAGCGUACCGGCGUGACAGUGAAUAGUGUGAAUUUUCACCUUAGGGGGCGCUAUGGAGCCAUUUUGCAUUUUCUUGUUUGGGCGACUUCGGAAUAUCAAAUUUUUCACCAGGCCCGGUCGUCCUGCCAAAUUUCAUGAGUUUUCGCCAGUGGGAAGUGGGCCAUUUUCCAGUUCAAAGGGGAGGAAAAAUAAUAAUAAUAAUAACAAAAGAAGGAAACUACAGGAACAAGAGGGCUCUCGCAGCUGCUUAGCAGCUACGCUCGGGCCCUAAAGAAAGAAACAAAGACUAGGACCCCGUUGGGGCACUGGCGGGCCCGAGCCGUGUCGCGUCCCCCCCCCAACGUGCUGCCUCCCCGUCCCAUUUGUGUCCUCUGGCCAUCGCCCUCUCUGGUAACGCCCAUCACUGCAAAGACCCUUUUCCUUCAUUGGCGUUUGCUGUUCUUCUUGCCAGUGCGUGUUGCUUUCACUUACACUUGCCACAGCCAGCCUCGUGAGUGCCUAGCCUAUUGGAUAUCACUGUCACCUACACAGGACAGUCAUUACCUUUCUAUUAAUACUUUGUGUUUUAAUUUCACAUUAAUUUCCAUAUUGUAUAAACGACUGGAAAAAACUUGAGCCCCUGCCCCUGUAUAAUCAUGUGCAUGUCUCUGUUCUAGCUCCAAGGUGAAUCUUCACUGCUCAUGUUCUCCUCAGAAGCACUCACCUCACUCCCCUCAGGUUACUGUACACAUGCACCAACUGCCUGCUUCAGGUUUGGAUGGAGCUUCAUGGUUGUCUUUUGGAGAAAUGACCAGUCAAGUUGUGUUUGAAAUUUGAUUUUUUUCAGGGGCAAAAGGAGCCUCUGCAUUCUUGUCAAAUAUGUAAAUAGCAUGUUUUUGCAGGUGCUAAAAACCAGACUCUGAGUGUGUGUGUGUGUGCGUGUGUGUGUGUCUGUGUGUGCGUUCAAGUCACAUGACAUAUUUAACCGGAUGUAGCUGCAAGACGGAGCCUCGUUGACUCUCCGUUUCAACUUAUCUCAAAAGUGAGGACCUCAACCUAUAUACCAGUUUUUAAAUUGUGAUGAUAGGCCAAAUAAAACCAGAGUUAUGAUAAAUUAUGUCCGCGAUACUUUUUUUCUGCUUAUUUUGAUCACGUUCGGCGCUCGAUCGCGCUGUAUGAGACAGGAAAACAAAGCAUGCAGACAUUAGCGACAGCUCUUACAGGCGGAAAAGGCUUGCCAAAAGAAAAAAAAAACACACCACAACAUCUCUCCUAUUGGUGGAAAACUUCACCACAACAACCAAUCCAAAAUUAUAUGGUGACUGAUUGACAAGGGGCGGGCGCUUACGUUCUUCCUGCAACAUGAGAAGCGAGGGAGGGACUCUCAGCAGGGAUGCAGUCUGGGACACGUAGUUGCAAACCUAGCGACUUUGUUGUUAGAUUCAAUGACUUUUCAGACCCCCUAACGACUUUUUUUUUUAGAAAGAAAGGGACUUUUAUCGACUUCUUCUGGAGUUUAGAGACUCUGACAUGAAGCAGGCUUUCCUUACUGAGGAGUUAGCAAUGCUGCUAAGGGUGCAGAGCCACACAUGCGCUCAGAGCUCUGCAUGGGAGACUGAAGCUGACAGAGCUGCAGCAGUUAGCAGGUUUCCCCUCAGAGACCACCAGGGGUUCAUGUUGAGGCAUUUUAAUUAUUUUUUUUUUUGUGCCAUAGACACUGUCAGCACAAUCUGCAGUUACACUAACAAAAAUGCUGCAAAAAACAAAGAAUUAUGGAAAAAUUACACAUGGACUGACAUAGAGGAGGAUCUACACAAGUUUUUUACAUCAUGUUUUACAUCAUGCAUCAUUUACAUCAUGUUUUUUUGUAGUGGCAUAAAUAAAAAGUGAUAUUUGUGAGACUAUACAGUGUUUUGUAAAUAAUUUUACAAAGAACGCCUGGGCCAUUGCCUGCAUUUUGAUGUAAAUAGAGGUAAAUCACUAUGUUCUUUGUUAAAAAUUUGCAUAUGUUUUGAAGUUUACAAUUUUUAUUUGAAGUUUAAGUUUUAAAAACAGUUCAUCACACAUAUUUGUGGUUUUCACAGUAAAAAUGUUACUUUUUUCCACUCGGAUUUUAUGUUUUGUGUGUGAAUUUGGGUCCAUUGUGUAAAUUCAGUAUGUCAACAUGAUAAAAUAACUGUAAAUUCGCACAGGUGAGGUUGUGCUGAAAAAAAUGAUACCAGGCAAGGCACGUGAUUGUCAAAUUUUUGUGUCAUUUUGCCAAAGCGUACAGGUGUUACACUCAACAAUGUGUAUUUUCACCUUAGGGGACAAGAAAAAAUGGACUUUUUUCUCCUGCCAUGGGGGGGCGCUCUUUUGGGGAGUAAAAAUUCCUUCACAAAUGUGUUGAUGGCUGGACAUUGCAUCAUCCUAGAAAACUUGGAGGCCAGUGAGGGCAAAAAUAAAAAGUUAUAAGACUUUUAAAUAUGUGGAUCUUAGGGUUAUCUUUGGCGCCCCCUAGAACCUAAACCGUGGGGUGCAGCGUCAUGAUUUGAAUAACUUUUAAUGGCCAUGGGGUGUAGAUUGGCCUGAGCAAAUGUGGUGCCGGUGGAACGAAAGCCUUCGGAGGAGUUAGCGAAAUUCCAAUGUGUGCGGAUCGGCAAAAAAUGCGAAAUAACCCUUUAACCGUACAUUUGACAGAUACGCCCGCACUGACUUUUUUGUAGAUCUUAUUGAGAUACAUGUGUGUGUCAAUUUUUGUGUCAUUUUGACAAAGCGUACAGGCGUGACAGUCAAUAGUGUGAAUUUUCACCUUAGGGGGCGCUAUGGAGCCAUUUUGCAUUUUCUUGUUUGGGCGACUUCGGAAUAUCAAAUUUUUCACCAGGCCCGGUCGUCCUGCCAAAUUUCAUGAGUUUUCGCCAGUGGGAAGUGGGCCAUUUUCCAGUUCAAAGGGGAGGAAAAAUAAUAAUAACAAAAGAAGGAAACUACAGGAACAAGAGGGCUCUCGCAGCUGCUUAGCAGCUACGCUCGGGCCCUAAAAAACCCCUACAGGAAUAACAGGGCCUACGCCCGGCUGCUCUGCAGCUGGCUCGGGCCCUAAUAACUAGGACCCCGUUGGGGCACUGGCGGGCCCGAGCCGUGUCGCGUCCCCCCCCCCCCAACGUGCUGCCUCCCCGUCCCAUUUGUGUCCUCUGGCCAUCGCCCUCUCUGUUAACGCCCAUCACUGCAAAGACCCUUUUCCUUCAUCGGCGUUUGCUGUUCUUCCUGCCAGUGCGUGUUGAUUUCACUUACACUUGCCACAGCCAGCCUCGUGAGUGCCUAGCCUAUUGGAUAUCACUGUCACCUACACAGGACAGUCAUUACCUUUCUAUUAAUACUUUGUGUUUUAAUUUCACAUUAAUUUCCAUAUUGUAUAAACGACUGGAAAAAACUUGAGCCCCUGCCCCUGUAUAAUCAUGUGCAUGUCUCUGUUCUAGCUCCAAGGUGAAUCUUCACUGCUCAUGUUCUCCUCAGAAGCACUCACCUCACUCCCCUCAGGUUACUGUACACAUGCACCAACUGCCUGCUUCAGGUUUGGAUGGAGCUUCAUGGUUGUCUUUUGGAGAAAUGACCAGUCAAGUUGUGUUUGAAAUUUGAUUUUUUUCAGGGGCAAAAGGAGCCUCUGCAUUCUUGUCAAAUAUGUAAAUAGCAUGUUUUUGCAGGUGCUAAAAACCAGACUCUGAGUGUGUGUGUGUGUGUGUGUGUGUGUGUGUGUGUGUGUGUGUGUGUGUGUGUGUGUGUGUGUGUGUGUGUGCGUGUGUGUGUCUAUGUGUGCGUUCAAGUCACAUGACAUAUUUAACCGGAUGUAGCUGCAAGACGGAGCCUCGUUGACUCUCCGUUUCAACUUAUCUCAAAAGUGAGGACCUCAACCUAUAUACCAGUUUUUAAAUUGUGUUGAUAGGCCAAAUAAAACCAGAGUUAUGAUAAAUUAUGUCCGCGAUACUUUUUUUCUGCUUAUUUUGAUCACGUUCGGCGCUCGAUCGCGCUGUAUGAGACAGGAAAACAUAGCAUGCAGACAUUAGCGACAGGUCUUAAAGGCGGAAAAGGCUUGCCAAAAGAAAAAAAAAACACACCACAACAUCUCUCCUAUUGGUGGAAAACAUGAGAAGGGAGGGAGGGACUCUCAGCAGGGAUGCAGUCUGGGACACGUAGUUGCAAACCUAGCGACUUUGUUGUUAGAUUCAAUGACUUUUCAGACCCCCUAAUGACUUUUUUUUUAGAAAGAAAGGGACUUUUAUCGACUUCUUCUGGAGUUCUGGAGUUUAGAGACUCUGACAUGAAGCAGGCUUUCCUUACUGAGGAGUUAGCAACGCUGCUAAGGGUGCAGAGCCACACAUGCGCUCCGAGCUCUGCAUGGGAGACUGAAGCUGACAGAGCUGCAGCAGUUAGCAGGUUUCACCCUCAGAGACCACCAGGGGUUCAUGUUGAGGCAUUUUCAGUUUUUUUUUUUUUUUUUUGCCAUAGACACUGUCAGCACAAUCUGCAGUUACACUAACAAAAAUGCUGCAAAAAACAAAGAAUUAUGGAAAAAUUACACAUGGACUAACAUAGAGGAGGAUCUACACAAGUUUUUUACAUCAUGUUUUACAUCAUGCAUCAUUUACAUCAUGUUUUUUUGUAGUGGCAUAAAUAAAAAGUGACAUUUGUGAGACUAUACAGUGUUUUGUAAAUAAUUUUACAAAGAACACCUGGGCCAUUGCCUGCAUUUUGAUGUCAAUAGAGGUAAAUUACUAUGUUCUUUGUUAAAAAUUUGCAUAUGUUUUGAAGUUUACAAUUUUUAUUUGAAGUUUAAGUUUUAAAAACAGUUCAUCACACAUAUUUGUGGUUUUCACAGUAAAAACGUUACUUUUUUCCACUCGGAUUUUAUGUUUUGUGUGUGAAUUUGGGUCCAAUGUGUAAAUAUAGUAUGUCAAAAUGAUAAAAUAACUGUAAAUUGACACAGGUGAGGUUGUGCUGAAAAAAAUGAUACCAGGCAAGGCAAGGUAAAAAUUUUGUAAGAGGAAAUAUAAAGGUAAAAUCUAAAGUAGUCAAAAACGGCCAAUAGUGACUCACAGACUCCACAGACAAGUCCCUUUGGCGCCACUCAGUGGGCAAAACUACUUUGUCUACUGUAAUGUAUAUUUGGGUCAUCUUUGGCGCCCCCUAAAACGUAAACCGUGGGGUGCAGCGUCAUGAUUUUUACAACUUUGAAUGGCCAUGGAGUGUAGAUUGGCCUGAGCAAAUUUGGUGUCAGUGGGACGAAAGCCUUAGGAGGAGUUAGCGAAAUUCCAAUGUGUGCGAAUCGGCAAAAAAUGCAAAAUAGCCCUUUUACCGUACAUUAUACAGAUACGCGCUCUUUGACUUUUUCGUAGAUCUAAUUGAGAUACACAUGAUUGUCAAUUUUUGUGUCAUUUUGCCAAAGCGUACAGGCGUGACAGUCAACAAUGUGUAUUUUCACCUUAGGGGACAAGAAAAAAUGGACUUUUUUCUCCUGCCAUGGGGGGGCGCUCUUUUGGGGAGUAAAAAUUCCUUCACAAAUGUGUUGAUGGCUGGACAUUGCAUCAUCCUAGAAAACUUGGAGGCCAGUGAGGACAAAAAUAAAAAGUUAUAAGACUUUUAAAAAUGUGGAUUUUUGGGUUAUCUUUGGCGCCCCCUAGAACGUAAACCGUGGGGUGCAGCGUCAUGAUUUGAAUAACUUUUAAUGGCCAUGGGGUGUAAUUUGGCCUGAGCAAAUGUGGUGCCGGUGGAACGAAAGCCUUCGGAGGAGUUAGCGAAAUUCCAAUGUGUGCGAAUCGGCAAAAAAUUCGGAAUAACCCUUUAACCGUACAUUAGACAGAUACGCGCGCAUGGACUUUUUUGUAGAUCUUAUUGAGAUACAUGUGUGUGUCAAUUUUUGUGUCAUUUUGACAAAGCGUACAGGCGUGACACUCAACAAUGUGUAUUUUCACCUUAGGGGACAAGAAAAAAAUGGACUUUUUUCUCCUGCCAUGGGGGGGCGCUCUUUUGGGGAGUAAAAAUUCCUUCACAAAUGUGUUGAUGGCUGGACAUUGCAUCAUCCUAGAAAACUUGGAGGCCAGUGAGGACAAAAAUAAAAAGUUAUAAGACUUUUAAAAAUGUGGAUUUUUGGGUUAUCUUUGGCGCCCCCUAGAACGUAAACCGUGGGGUGCAGCGUCAUGAUUUGAAUAACUUUUAAUGGCCAUGGGGUGUAAUUUGGCCUGAGCAAAUGUGGUGCCGGUGGAACGAAAGCCUUCGGAGGAGUUAGCGAAAUUCCAAUGUGUGCGAAUCGGCAAAAAAUUCGGAAUAACCCUUUAACCGUACAUUAGACAGAUACGCGCGCAUGGACUUUUUUGUAGAUCUUAUUGAGAUACAUGUGUGUGUCAAUUUUUGUGUCAUUUUGACAAAGCGUACAGGCGUGACACUCAACAAUGUGUAUUUUCACCUUAGGGGACAAGAAAAAAAUGGACUUUUUUCUCCUGCCAUGGGGGGCGCUCUUUUGGGGAGUAAAAAUUCCUUCACAAAUGUGUUGAUGGCUGGACAUUGCAUCAUCCUAGAAAACUUGGAGGCCAGUGAGGACAAAAAUAAAAAGUUAUAAGACUUUUAAAAAUGUGGAUUUUUGGGUUAUCUUUGGCGCCCCCUAGAACGUAAACCGUGGGGUGCAGCGUCAUGAUUUGAAUAACUUUUAAUGGCCAUGGGGUGUAAUUUGGCCUGAGCAAAUGUGGUGCCGGUGGAACGAAAGCCUUCGGAGGAGUUAGCGAAAUUCCAAUGUGUGCGAAUCGGCAAAAAAUUCGGAAUAACCCUUUAACCAUACAUUAGACAGAUACGCGCGCAUGGACUUUUUUGUAGAUCUUAUUGAGAUACAUGUGUGUGUCAAUUUUUGUGUCAUUUUGACAAAGCGUACAGGCGUGACACUCAACAAUGUGUAUUUUCACCUUAGGGGACAAGAAAAAAAUGGACUUUUUUCUCCUGCCAUGGGGGGGCGCUCUUUUGGGGAGUAAAAAUUCCUUCACAAAUGUGUUGAUGGCUGGACAUUGCAUCAUCCUAGAAAACUUGGAGGCCAGUGAGGGGAAAAAUAAAAAGUUAUAAGACUUUUAAAAAUGUGGAUUUUAGGGUUAUCUUUGGCGCCCCCUAGAACCUAAACCGUGGGGUGCAGCGUCAUGAUUUGAAUAACUUUUAAUGGCCAUGGGGUGUAGAUUGGCCUGAGCAAAUGUGGUGCCGGUGGAACGAAAGCCUUCGGAGGAGUUAGCGAAAUUCCAAUGUGUGCGGAUCGGCAAAAAAUGCGAAAUAACCCUUUAACCGUACAUUUGACAGAUACGCCCGCACUGACUUUUUUGUAGAUCUUAUUGAGAUACAUGUGUGUGUCAAUUUUUGUGUCAUUUUGACAAAGCGUACAGGCGUGACAGUCAAUAGUGUGAAUUUUCACCUUAGGGGGCGCUAUGGAGCCAUUUUGCAUUUUCUUGUUUGGGCGACUUCGGAAUAUCAAAUUUUUCACCAGGCCCGGUCGUCCUGCCAAAUUUCCUGAGUUUUCGCCAGUGGGAAGUGGGCCAUUUUCCAGUUCAAAGGGGAGGAAAAAGAAGAAAGAAAGAAACAACUAGGGCCCCGUUGGGGCACUGGCGGGCCCGAGCCGUGUCACGCCGCCCCCAGCGCGACCGCCUCCCCCACCCGAUCACGUCACACUCAAGGUCCAAAGAUGGUGUGCGCACUUGUUUGUGGUCAUUUACCAUUAUAAUGAACGGGAGGCGCAGUUUCUACCAAAACGCUCGCUGCAGAAAAACUCCAUGUCCUAUUUGAAAAAAGUCUGGACCAUGAGUGAGGGCACAAACACAGCUAAGAUAUAUCCAAAUGGCAAGUUGCUCCUCCUUUCGCUUUUGCCGAGAGAGCAGUGCGUUUGAGCCAUUGAAUGAUGAACAGGAAAAACUUGACUUUUUUCUCCUGCCAUGGGGGGGCGCUCUUUUAAAGAGAAAAAACUCCUUCACAAAUGUGUUGAUGGCUGGACAUUGCAUCAUCCUAGAAAACAUGGAGGCCAGUGAGGACAAAAAUAAAAAGUUAUAAGACUUUUAAAUAUGUGGAUUUUAGGGUUAUAUUUGGCGCCCCCUAGAACCUAAACCGUGGGGUGCAGCGUCAUGAUUUGAAUAACUUUUAAUGGCCAUGGGGUGUAGAUUGGCCUGAGCAAAUGUGGUGCCGGUGGAACGAAAGCCUUCGGAGGAAUUAGCGAAAUUCCAAUGUGUGCGAAUCUGCAAAAAAUGCGAAAUAACCCUUUAACCGUACAUUUUACAGAUACGUGGCCAUUGACUUUUUCGAAGAUCUUAUGUAAAUACACGUGUAUGUAAAAUUUUGUGUCAAUACGACAAAACAUACAGGCGUAGCACUCAACAAUGUGUAUUUUCACCUUAGUGGACAAGAAAAAAUUGACUUUUUUCUCCUGCCAUGGGGGGGCGCUCUUUUGCCGAGUAAAAAUUCCUUCACAAAUGUGUUGAUGGCUGGACAUUGCAUCAUCCUAGAAAACUUGGAGGCCAGUGGGGACAAAAAUAAAAAGUUAUAAGACUUUAAAAUAUGUGGAUUUUACGGUUAUCUUUGGCUCCCCCUAGAACCUAAACCGUGGGGUGCAGCGUCAUGAUUUGAAUAACUUUUAAUGGCCAUGGGGUGUAGAUUGGCCUGAGCAAAAGUGGUGCCGGUGGAACGAAAGCCUUCGGAGGAGUUAGCGAAAUUCCAAUGUGUGCGGAUCGGCAAAAAAUGCGGAAUAACCCUUUAACCGUACAUUUGACAGAUACGCGCGCAUUGACUUUUUCGUAGAUCUUAUUGAGAUACAUGUGUGUGUCAAUUUUUGUGUCAUUUUGCCAAAGCGUACAGGUGUUACACUCAACAAUGUGUAUUUUCACCUUAGGGGACAAGAAAAAAUGGACUUUUUUCUCCUGCCAUGGGGGGGGCGCUCUUUUGGGGAGUAAAAAUUCCUUCACAAAUGUGUUGAUGGCUGGACAUUGCAUCAUCCUAGAAAACUUGGAGGCCAGUGAGGGCAAAAAUAAAAAGUUAUAAGACUUUUAAAUAUGUGGAUCUUAGGGUUAUCUUUG